UACGAAGGGGGCUAGCGUUGCUCGGAAUCACUGGGCGUAAAGGGCGCGUAGGCGGCCGUUCAAGUCGGGGGUGAAAGCCUGUGGCUCAACCACAGAAUGGCCCUCGAUACUGGAUGGCUCGAGACCGGAAGAGGUUGGUGGAACUGCGAGUGUAGAGGUGAAAUUCGUAGAUAUUCGCAAGAACACCAGUGGCGAAGGCGGCCAACUGGUCCGGUUCUGACGCUGAGGCGCGAAAGCGUGGGGGAGCAAACAGGG
rnacentral:rRNA from 1 species